AGCGAACGCUGGCGGCAGGCCUAACACAUGCAAGUCGAACGAACCCUUCGGGGUUAGUGGCGGACGGGUGAGUAACACGUGGGAACGUGCCUUUAGGUUCGGAAUAACUCAGGGAAACUUGUGCUAAUACCGAAUGUGCCCUUCGGGGGAAAGAUUUAUCGCCUUUAGAGCGGCCCGCGUCUGAUUAGCUAGUUGGUGAGGUGAUGGCUCACCAAGGCUACGAUCAGUAGCUGGUCUGAGAGGAUGAUCAGCCACAUUGGGACUGAGACACGGCCCAAACUCCUACGGGAGGCAGCAGUGGGGAAUCUUGCGCAAUGGGCGAAAGCCUGACGCAGCCAUGCCGCGUGGAUGAUGAAGGUCUUAGGAUUGUAAAGUUCUUUUACCCGGGAUGAUAAUGACAGUACCGGGAGAAUAAGCCCCGGCUAACUCCGUGCCAGCAGCCGCCGUAACAC
rnacentral:rRNA from 1 species